CGAAUGCAAUAAGAAGCCGAGCUGAGGGGAACUGCAACGAAUAGAACGGUUUGCUGACAGGAGUGCUGACUAUUCAGGGAGAGUGACUCUCCAAAACAUGUAUGUGUCAUCUUUUUACAAUGCCAAGGGUCAAUUCAGGAAGCCACAAGCUGUGAGACGAUAGAAAAUGACAAGGAAGAGAAAGAGUGGAGAGAAAGGAAAGGCAGGUGCACAGAAGAAGGUGGCCCAAAAAAGAGAUGGUAGGACAUCAUCAUCCAGAACACGUUCGCAGAGCCAAACGAAAUGCAAGCAUACUGGUCACCCAAGCCCAUCCAGAUCCAGAGACCAUGGAGGGCACAGCACGGGCACAACAGAGUCUGAACCGCUGAGUAAAGAUGCUCAGACUCAAACAAGCCCAAGUGGGCUGGAAAACAAGGAGACUCAGACGGAGACCGUUAGUCAGGCAACACAACAGACACAAACAGAGCUCAAUGGCAACACUGAGACCACAGAAGUGUCAACAGAACUCGGUCCUGAAGAUGUUAAGAUGGAGGUGGAAACUGGCCUGUCAAGGAACAAAGGAAAUGAAAGUGAUGGAGAAAAGGAUGAAAGUGCUGAGAGGAAGAAAAGGAAAGUGGGUGAAACAAGGGAACCUACAGAGGAGACAAAAGAAAGGACCAAACUAUCAGAUGGUUGCAGAAAACAAGAUGGAGACGAUCAGAAAGACAAAGUUGCAAAUAAAGAAUGUUCGGAAGGAGAUUCACAAAAGGGCACUAAACUCAAGUCAAUAACAGAAGAACCAAAAUCGUACGCAGCAGCUGCUGGGGCGGGAAAGACUGAACAGUCUAAGGAGCAGAGGAAUCAGACAGCAACAGUUCAAGACAAUAGCAAAAGAAGAAAACCUUCCCCAGUGAGGGCUCCAGCCGAACAGCCAGUGUUCACUUUCUACAUUUAUGCUGUUCUGGACAAAAAAUUCAGAUUUGACAGACAGCAUGACUCUCUUUUGCUCCUUCAAGGGAAUGAAGUCUUUGAACUACAGAUUACAUAUUUUUGGGGUCUACAACAGGAAGGCUAUUUGAUUGAAGCAACAUUUUCACUUUGGCAAGGCAUUGACAGGGGUGUUCCAAUAGAAUACAGAUAUGCAGUUCAGAAACAAAAUGGCACCAUUAUGGAAACAGCAUUAAGACAUGUUUAUGUCCCCACUGAAAAUACAGUAAAAGGUACUGAAUGUGUUACAUAAGUUUUUUUUUUGGUAAAUCAUUGUACAUUGUAUGUGAUGUAAUGCCUGAUCUGUGUUGUUUCCUCUCAAGAACUGCACCUUUAUGAAGGUUACAUAAGUUCAAGUUCAAGAUCUGUUAAAGAACGGGUGACAGACUGGAUCUUUCGGAAUGCACAAGAAGAAAUUUGCAAACGCUGGGAGACCUCUGCACAUGCACUGCUGGACAGAGUGUUUAAGAAAUGGGGGUCAUUUAAUGAUGAAGACAACAAGACACUUAUCCAACACCUAAACAGUUACAAACAAGGUUUUCAGUCAGUCAUGAGACGUUUGAAAUUUCCAGAGCAUCCUUCCCC
rnacentral:lncRNA from 1 species